rnacentral:rRNA from 1 species
AGAGUUUGAUCCUGGCUCAGAUUGAACGCUGGCGGUAUGCUUAACACAUGCAAGUCGAACGGUAACAGCGGAGCUUGCUCCGGCUGACGAGUGGCGGACGGGUGAGUAACGCGUAGGAAUCUGCCUGAUAGUGGGGGACAACCCGGUGAAAACCAGGCUAAUACCGCAUACGCCCUACGGGGGAAAGCGGGGGAUCUUCGGACCUCGCGCUAUCAGAUGAGCCUGCGUCGGAUUAGCUAGUUGGUAAGGUAAUGGCUUACCAAGGCGACGAUCCGUAGCUGGUUUGAGAGAACGACCAGCCACAUUGGGACUGAGACACGGCCCAGACUCCUACGGGAGGCAGCAGCGGGGAAUAUUGGACAAUGGGGGCAACCCUGAUCCAGCAAUACCGCGUGUGUGAAGAAGGCCCGAGGGUUGUAAAGCACUUUCAGUAGGGAAGGAAUGCCUGGGGUUAAUAGCCUCGGGUCUUGACGUAACCUACAGAAGAAGCACCGGCUAACUCCGUGCCAGCAGCCGCGGUAAUACGGAGGGUGCCGAGCGUUAAUCGGAAUUACUGGGCGUAAAGCGUACGCAGGCUGUCAAGUCAGUCAGAUGUGAAAGCCCCGGGCUUAACCUGGGAACUGCA